GACAGAGGGUGCAAACGUUGCUCGGAAUCACUGGGCGUAAAGGGCGUGUAGGCGGGAAGGAAAGUCAGAUGUGAAAUCCCUGGGCUCAACCCAGGAACUGCAUUUGAAACUCCCUUUCUUGAGUACCGGAGAGGAAAGUGGAAUACCUGGUGUAGAGGUGAAAUUCGUAGAUAUCAGGUGGAACACCAGUGGCGAAGGCGGCUUUCUGGACGGUAACUGACGCUGAGACGCGAAAGCGUGGGGAGCAAACAGG
rnacentral:rRNA from 1 species